rnacentral:rRNA from 1 species
UACGUAGGGGGCAAGCGUUGUCCGGAUUUAUUGGGCGUAAAGCGCGUGUAGGCGGCCAGAUAGGUCUGCUGUGAAAACUCGAGGCUCAACCUCGAGCUGUCGGCGGAAACCAUCUGGCUAGAGUCCGGAAGAGGAGAGUGGAAUUCCUGGUGUAGCGGUGAAAUGCGCAGAAUAUCAGGAGGAACACCAGCGGCGAAGGCGGCGC